GUGUCAGCCGCCGCGGUAAUACGUAGGGGGCUAGCGUUAUCCGGAUUCAUUGGGCGUAAAGCGCGCGUAGGCGGGCUGUUAAGUCAGAUGUGAAAACCGGGGGCUCAACCCGCGGCCUGCAUCUGAAACUGGCAGCCUCGAGUCUGGUAGAGGAAAGUGGAAUUCCCAGUGUAGCGGUGAAAUGCGCAGAUAUUGGGAGGAACACCAGUGGCGAAGGCGGCUUUCUGGGCCACGACUGACGCUGAGGCGCGAAAGCUAGGGGAGCAAACAGGAUUAGAUACCCUGGUAGUCCUAGCCGUAAACGAUGGGCACUAGGUGUGGGAGGUCAUCGACUCCUUCCGUGCCGCAGCUAACGCAUUAACUGC
rnacentral:rRNA from 1 species